AACGAACGCUGGCGGCAUGCUUAACACAUGCAAGUCGAACGAACAUAUAGGGCUUGCUUUAUAUGUUAGUGGCAGACGGGUGAGAAACGCGUGGGAACGUACCCCAAAGUUCGGAAUAACUGUUGGAAACGACAGCUAAUACCGGAUGUGGCAGAGAUGCUAAAGGUUUACCGCUUUGGGAGCGGCCCGCGUUAGAUUAGCUUGUUGGUGAGGUAAUGGCUCACCAAGGCAAUGAUCUAUAGCUGGUCUG
rnacentral:rRNA from 1 species